AGCGACUUACAUGCUUAUGAAAUUAAAAUGCUCUAAAUAGUUAAAUUAAACAUAAAUUAUUUUCAAGAGCAACACCUGGAGUACUUUAAAUGGUAUACUUUGAGAUGGAAACUGUUUCAGGCAGUUUGUCGCGAAGUGAGCCUAGUUUCGGUUUUGCACGAGCUUCUCAAGUGCGAGGCCGGCUGAUUACUUUGAUGUCGGCCGCAGAAGCAGGUGCACUGGUGCUCACAGUAUCUUCAGUGAAUUAAAACAUUCGUCUAACUCUUUAAAAAAAUAUUUGCUCCGACGGGCGCCCUUCACGUUGUAUUAAGUUGGCAUGUCUCGAAGUUUGCUGAAUGGCGCUUAUUAUGUGGUGUUGGAUGAAGUAUACAGAGAUACAACUGUGCCAAUAAAAAAGAAAAAUAUUAAGAAAAUUCUACAGUUUCGUGCAGCUGUUAGGAAAAGGCUUACUCCACUUUUUGCCAAGCGCUUGUCUCAAUUUGUUGGAGUUUUAAAUGAGCAAAAGGCUAUAACUCAACCAGACAAAGAAAAAUCCAUGAAAAUGCCAUCGAACAAUGCCGAAGAAACUGCUCUGCUUGGUAUGGACGACAUCGAACUUCGCAACAUCCAACUGCAGUUCCCGAGUGCUCGCCGGUUUAGUGGAGAAGCCGCUUGUACUGAGGUGCGGGUGCGCACUGACCGCGGCGACAUCCUCGUCGCUGUGCAAGGAGACCGUAACAAGCCCGCCAUCAUAACCUAUCAUGACCUCGGCCUCAACUACUCGUCAUUUCAACCGUUCUUCGGAUACGUCGAUAUGAGGGCUCUGCUCGAAAACUUUUGCGUGUACCAUGUCAACGCUCCAGGCCAAGAGGAAGGCGCCCCGAGCUUGCCGGAAGACUAUAUGUAUCCAUCGAUGGACGAGUUGGCGAAUCAACUGAACUACGUCAUGGGCCACUUCGGCAUCAAGACCUUUAUAGGAUUCGGCGUGGGCGCUGGAGCGAACGUGCUUGCUAGAUUCGCUCUUAUCCACCCUAAGAAGGUAGAUGCGCUGACAUUGAUCAACUGCACAUCGAACCAGGCCGGAUGGAUCGAGUGGGCUUACCAGAAGAUGAACACUCGGUCCCUUCGUUCCCGUGGCAUGACCCAGGGCGUGCUGGACUACCUUUUGUGGCAUCAUUUCGGACGUUUCCCCGAAGACCGCAACCACGAUCUGACCCAGAUGUACAAGAACUAUUUCACACGUAACGUGAACCCCAGCAACCUGUCGAUGUUCAUUGAGGCGUACGUGCGGCGCUCCGACCUGGGUAUAUGCCGUAACGCCGACACCAUCAAGGUGCCGGUGUUGAACAUCACGGGUGCUCUGUCACCUCACGUAGACGACACGGUGACCUUCAACGGACGUCUCAACCCGAACAAUUCGACUUGGAUGAAGAUCUCCGACUGCGCAAUGGUGCUUGAAGAGCAGCCAAGCAAGAUUUCGGAGGCAUUCCGCCUCUUCUUACAGGGCGAGGGCUAUGCUUAAUUGGAACGAGCUUUAAGAUUUAUUUCAAAACGCGUAUCUCUGAUUUAACUUGCUUACUGAGCGCCCAAAUGAGAUAGUGUUGCACAACUUUGGCAUGCGUGGCGCCUCUCUCGCCGACUAAGAUCGUUGCAUUCCGUCGGCUGUCGGACGCAGAGCGGCGUCGUCCGUGCCGCCACUCCUCUGUGAUUCGCAUCACCGAGAACCCUAUCUCG
rnacentral:misc_RNA from 1 species